GAUGAACGCUGGCGGCGUGCCUAAUACAUGCAAGUCGAGCGAACAGACGAGGAGCUUGCUCCUCUGACGUUAGCGGCGGACGGGUGAGUAACACGUGGAUAACCUACCUAUAAGACUGGGAUAACUUCGGGAAACCGGAGCUAAUACCGGAUAAUAUAUUGAACCGCAGGGUUCAAUAGUGAAAUACGGUUUUGCUGUCACUUAUAGAUGGAUCCGCGCCGCAUUAGCUAGUUGGUAAGGUAACGGCUUACCAAGGCGACGAUGCGUAGCCGACAUGAGAGGGUGAUCGGCCACACUGGAACUGAGACACGGUCCAGACUCCUACGGGAGGCAGCAGUAGGGAAUCUUCCGCAAUGGGCGAAAGCCUGACGGAGCAACGCCGCGUGAGUGAUGAAGGUCUUCGGAUCGUAAAACUCUGUUAUUAGGGAAGAACAAAUGUGUAAGUAACUAUGCACGUCUUGACGGUACCUAAUCAGAAAGCCACGGCUAACUACGUG
rnacentral:rRNA from 1 species